AGCUAUCCAAAUAUGGUCAAAGGGCAGCAUUGUGUUACCUGAAUUUACAAGACUCGGUAUUGAGCUGAAAUAAGUUUUGAUUUCUUUUGUAGCAUCAUCCUCGAUGUCAGUAAGCUUGAUUUAGCUUCUUUUCCGUGUGUACAUUCCUCCAUUAAGCUGUGGUAUGUGAAUUGGGAUGCAGAUAAGGCGUUUUCGAAGGUUUGCUUCAAGUAUUCAGACAGAUAAUAACUGAGUAAACUCACGGUUGAAAACUGACUGCUUGGCAUGGUCAAGAAUGACCAUCAAGAUUCUACAAAGUCUUACUUAAAAAGAGGAAGAUUUGUUUGUUGGUAUUUCUCAUUGGUUGAUGACAGAAGACUGACUGUGACACUGUCCCAACGCGUAAGUGCAAGCGUCACUCGUCAAUCUGGGCAGACAAUAUAUUAUAUCCCCUUAAACCUUAAAUUUUACCAUCAGUAAAUCCGUCUACCUGAAUUACCUCCCGGUUUUCUUCCAUCAUACCUUUUUACUCGUCAUAUUUAUCUCUUCAACCUUGAACGUGAGUACAUUUUAGAGACUUACGAUUAUUGUUAUAUAGAUCUUAAAUUUUUUUUUGUUCAAUUUCGCUGUAGUGAAAAAGAUUGAGAGGGGGGCAAAAUGCCUCUUCAAGAAAAUUGAGGGACAAAAAAUGAUAAAAUCUAAAUGACUUUUUUUCGUUUAACUUAGUCAUUUAUGAAAAAAAAAU